rnacentral:rRNA from 1 species
AUUGAACGCUGGCGGCAUGCCUUACACAUGCAAGUCGAACGGUAGCAGGUCUUCGGAUGCUGACGAGUGGCGAACGGGUGAGUAAUACAUCGGAACGUGCCCGAUCGUGGGGGAUAACGGAGCGAAAGCUUUGCUAAUACCGCAUACGAUCUACGGAUGAAAGCAGGGGACCGCAAGGCCUUGCGCGGACGGAGCGGCCGAUGGCAGAUUAGGUAGUUGGUGGGAUAAAAGCUUACCAAGCCGACGAUCUGUAGCUGGUCUGAGAGGACGACCAGCCACACUGGGACUGAGACACGGCCCAGACUCCUACGGGAGGCAGCAGUGGGGAAUUUUGGACAAUGGGCGAAAGCCUGAUCCAGCCAUGCCGCGUGCAGGAUGAAGGCCUUCGGGUUGUAAACUGCUUUUGUACGGAACGAAAAGACUCUUUCUAAUAAAGAGGGUCCAUGACGGUACCGUAAGAAUAAGCACCGGCUAACUACGUGCCAGCCGCCGCGGUAA